AACGAACGCUGGCGGCAGGCUUAACACAUGCAGGUCGAACGCCCCGCAAGGGGAGUGGCAGACGGGUGAGUAACGCGUGGGAACGUGCCCUUCGCUUCGGAAUAGCCCCGGGAAACUGGGAGUAAUACCGAAUACGCCGUAUUGGGAAAGAUUUAUCGGCGAAGGAUCGGCCCGCGUUAGAUUAGGUAGUUGGCGGUGUAAUGGACCACCAAGCCUACGAUCUAUAGCUGGUCUGAGAGGAUGAUCAGCCACACUGGGACUGAGACACGGCCCAGACUCCUACGGGAGGCAGCAGUGGGGAAUCUUGGACAAUGGGCGCAAGCCUGAUCCAGCCAUGCCACGUGAGUGAAGAAGGCCUUAGGGUUGUAAAACUCUUUCGCCGGAGAAGAUAAUGACGGUAUCCGGAGAAGAAGCCCCGGCUAACUUCGUGCCAGCAGCCGCGGUAAAAC
rnacentral:rRNA from 1 species